CCCACCCAGAGGGGGUGCCUCUUUGGGGCUCAUUCCUGUACCUACCAACAGCCUGAUCCCUUGCUCCUGUUCAGCUGCCCCUGAGGGCAGGGCCUGGCAAGAAGGCAUCCGAAGGCGUCUCCAUGAGGUUCUUCACCAAGCUGGACCAGCUCAUCGAGUUUUACAAGAAGGAAAACAUGGGGCUGGUGACCCAUCUGCAAUACCCUGUGCCGCUGGAGGAAGAGGACACAGGCGACGACCCUGAGGAGGACACAGAAAGUGUCGUGUCUCCACCCGAGCUGCCCCCAAGAAACAUCCCGCUGACUGCCAGCUCCUGUGAGGCCAAGGAGGUUUCUUUUUCAAACGAGAAUCCCCGAGCGACCGAGACCAGCCGGCCGAGCCUCUCCGAGACAUUGUUCCAGCGACUGCAAAGCAUGGACACCAGUGGGCUUCCAGAAGAGCAUCUUAAGGCCAUCCAAGAUUAUUUAAGCACUCAGCUCGCCCAGGACUCUGAAUUUGUGAAGACGGGGUCCAGCAGUCUUCCUCACCUGAAGAAACUGACCACACUGCUCUGCAAGGAGCUCUAUGG
rnacentral:sRNA from 1 species